rnacentral:lncRNA from 1 species
AUAAAGGGUCUGCCACGGCUGUGUCUUCAUUAGUUAUCAGAACGAUUAGUUCUCAGCAGCAAAAAGUAAACGGAGAGAAUGAAUAUCCACGUAGUUUUGUCUUUAUUUGUUGGUAAGUGCAAUCAGUUUUGGCAUUAUUUUAUACUUUACACAACUACUCUUUCUUUUGUUUAGUCCUCUGCCUGACUUUGAUAUCUGGCCAGAGGGAGGACUGCGAGGCACUGCAACGCGCUUGCGAUAGUUGCUCGAGGAGAUUGAAUAAUUCGUCGGAUCGUGGCCUGCCCCUGUUGAAUAGGGAGUGCAGGCAGAAGACUCGUAGUACCUGGGUUUGGCGCAAUGUUACCCGAUGCGAACUGACCAGAUUAAACUGUAUCGGUAAGUCGAACUGGGAUAGCUUCUGAAAUUACUUAUCUUAAUCGAAAAUAUUUCUCUUUAUAGGAUCUAAUCGUCGCAUGAACUGUGCAGAUAUAGCUGAACUUGCUGGUAUGCGACGUGUCAGGAACUGAGGAACUAUUGAGCUGAUUUGAUAUGAUGAUUUAAAUUUAAUUUAAAAUAAAAUAUAUACAAGAGAGCAUUGAAGUAAAAUCAAAGGACUUUGUUAUGCCCACCACUUGCCAACCACCCUGGCUAGAUAUCACACAGGGCAAGAAUGCCAUAUACACACUGACAGCCACUACCAACAAUGACGAGAAAUGUGCAGUUCGAAAAGUCUGAGAAGAAAAGCAGAUGUUGAGCUUGUCCACUCGUCUGUCGUAGGCCUUUGUGCAUGUUUAAUGUUCGAAUUGGGGCUUUUGUCUUCUGUGCCUUCCAUAGAUCUGGCCCAAAUGGUAACUCAGGGCGUGAGCAAGCAAUCAUUUUUGCACCAAUUGCCGUACUUUAGUGACGAUAUUCUCAAGCGAUGCGCUGCGAACGUAAGAUGAAUAUUGAUUAUGGCAGAAAUUUUCUUUUUACAUGUUCCUGUUUGGUGUUUUUCAGAAAAUCUAAACCCUUUUCGGCAUCAUGGAGCUGGAGGAUGAGGAUCAUACGCGUCUGUAGCAGGUCUCCAGACAGAUCGCCGAUGGGGCCCGAUUUGCCAACUAUGUGGUCAAUCUGGAGAGUGAAUGCUCUUCAAUGCAACCUUCUUCCAUCCGAAGAUCGAGAAAGGCAAGCAUGAUCCACUCCUCUUUGGGAUGCAAUCAGGACUACAAGUUCUACAUCGAAGUGGCCGAUUUCCAAUCUGAUUUGAUACCAUGUCGGAGUAGGUUAAGUUUAGG